GCAAGUUAUUUUAUAAAAACAGUUUCACGCAUUGGUGGGUGUCCAGAGAGGAUCCGUGCAGACAGGGGCACAGAAAAUGUUUGUGUCGAACAGAUGCAGAUGUUUUUGCGUAGAAACCACUCAGACAAUUUUGCUGCGGAGAAAAGUUUCCUUUACGGAAGAAGUACAGCCAAUCAGCGUAUUGAUGGGUGGUGGUCCACCCUUCGCAAACAGAGUGCACAGUUUUGGAUUAAUUUAUUUCAAACUCUUCAAGAUGAUGGCCACUUUUCAGGAGAUUUUCUGGAUAAAAGUCUUAUCCGGUUCUGCUUUCUUAACCAUGUGCAGGUAGAAUAAUUUUUCUGGACAAAUUGUUUUUGGACGAAUGAAAAUAUAAGACUUAACUAUGCUGCUUUGUGUUCAGGAUGAGCUGGAUGAAGUUGUGAACACGUGGAACGCACACAAAAUAAGACCAAGAUUGUACCAUGAUACAGCUUCAGGUCGACCAGUCGUCAUGUAUUCAUUCCCUGCGAUGCACAGUGCCGAGGAUCAAUUAAAACCUUGCACUACAAAAGGCCUUUUUCCUUGUGAUGAAACUGUAUUUGAACUGUGUUGUUUGCUUAUGGAGGAAAAUGAAUGGCACGCGCCAUCAGAUCCAUUGGAUGCAAGUGACUUGUAUGUUAAGUUGAGAGAGGAAUUACUGAAGUCUAUUUGACAUACAGUAUGUACUGAUGCAAUUUUGGGAAAAUGAAGCUUCAAAUUUGCUCCAUAAA